AUGAAUGAAUGCCUCCCCUUUGAACUUAAACCACUUACAGUUGUAUAAUGGAAUAUCUAGGAGGGAAGACAUUUCACCAGCUGACUGUUGCAACGCUGGCGUUGAGAGAGAAGCUACGUUGUCCUUAAAAACGCUGUACCGAGGGGGAUGUACACACAUGGCGAAGCAAAGCCAAGUGAUUUGCAAACGGAUGGAUUUGGGGAUAAAGUCCACCCGGAGUUGGCUGACUGAAAACAGGCCCGCUGCAGUGACCUGUACGCACCCACAUUUUCAAAAAAGACUGUGAUGAAGGCCGACCAGCAGAGCGACAGAGUGCUGGUUAAUGCAUUAUUGCACCCGCGAGCACCACAGCUGGUCGGUUUCCGUUCUGCAGUCCAUCACACAGCGUGCUGAGAUGACCAUUGUGUUGCUAAAGCGGUUCGCCCACAAUAGCCUCACACAAGGCAAGUCUGUCUGUCUCUAACUGCAACUGGAAUAGACAGAAUAACUUCU